rnacentral:rRNA from 1 species
GACGAACGCUGGCGGCGUGCUUAACACAUGCAAGUCGAACGGAAGGGCCCUUCGGGGUCCUCGAGUGGCGAACGGGUGAGUAACACGUGGGUGAUCUGCCCUGCACUUUGGGAUAAGCCUGGGAAACUGGGUCUAAUACCGAAUAGGACCACGCGCUUCAUGGUGUGUGGUGGAAAGCUUUUGCGGUGUGGGAUGGGCCCGCGGCCUAUCAGCUUGUUGGUGGGGUAAUGGCCUACCAAGGCGACGACGGGUAGCCGGCCUGAGAGGGUGACCGGCCACACUGGGACUGAGAUACGGCCCAGACUCCUACGGGAGGCAGCAGUGGGGAAUAUUGCACAAUGGGCGCAAGCCUGAUGCAGCGACGCCGCGUGAGGGAUGACGGCCUUCGGGUUGUAAACCUCUUUCAAUAGGGACGAAGCGCAAGUGACGGUACCUAUAGAAGAAGCACCGGCCAACUACGUG